UUGCUGUGGAAAACACAACCAGUGAAAGUACAUGGCUGAGGCACAGAGUAGAGCCCGGCAAUAUCUAUUGGAACGAUGCAAAAAUAAAUUACAGUGGCUGUGUCGCUAUAGAGCCCAUAUAGUAAUAAAACACACUUCCUUAUUAUUUGCCAAACAGCAUGAAUGUGCAGGCCGGCUGCCAGCUCUGCAGAAUUUUCAGGUAAUAGAAAGGCUAAAGCUAGAGUAUGCACGACUCAGGGGUGGCGUUGCAUGAAGAUUCUCGGAAUCUGGAGGCUUUGAUGCAUUUUGGUUGUGUUUGGUCGAGAGGGUCAGUGAAGACACACUGACCUUUUCCCUCAUGGCUCGAAUGUGACGCAGCUGCCAACACUCGACGACCAGCCAAGGCAACUGGAGACAGAGACAUCUGCCGAGGACAAAAGGGAGGAAAGACACUUUUUUUUUUAAAUAAACAUUUGCACUCUGAGGAAUAGAUACAGUUGUAAACGUCACAGCUAAAGACACAUACUAACGUGUUCAAAGUGAUAAGAUAGUGAGAAUAAAAAGUAUAAUGACUCAAGUUCAUGCUUAUGUAUUUUCAUGUAAAGGGGGCCUUCAUAAGAUUUGUACUAACAACAGAUCAAUGCUAAAACAAUAAAAUGUGAACUGAAGAGAACUACAAUGCACUAAUUCCACUAUAUCUGUGUCCAGGGUCGAGGCCCACUAGUGCUGCUGCAUAUGAAGAGUGCUGAUAACGCUCCUCUAGCUAAAAUAGAAGAAAGUCAGAUUCGGGCUGCAGUGCAAACAGCAGCCGGAGCCAGCGGUGAUGUCAGCCAGUCAAGCAGGCAGCCAGUCUGAACGUCUAGCACUGCUGUUAUUGUGGGCAGAUGUGAAAGGCCAUCUCCGUUUGAGGGCUGCUGGCAGAUGGAUAUGCGGAGGAUGAUGGGCAGCCACAUGCAGGAUGAACUGAUUCAACAGGUUUUCCACCUGAACCUGACGGGGAGCAGCGCUUCCAUCAGUGGGAGCGGAGUUCACAAACACACACACACACACACACACACACACACACACACACACACACACACGGCAGCUGGAAGAAACCCUGUAGACUCAACACAGCAAAGUGCACAGGACAGACACACGGACUGAUGUGUUAAUAAAUAGGUGGGUAAUCAUAAAGUAAAUACACAUUUGUAUUUUUCAAUAGUAUUAUCCUUUUUCUGAAUCUGUCUUCUUGUGAUCAGUUUGACAGCACUUAUACAUAUUUUAAGUUUACGGGAAUAAGGGAUUUAAAUCAUCCUUAAAUGUAGGAAAACUGUGCAACUUUUGCAAAUAAAAAGAUGUGUAAACUGAAAUUAGGUGAUUUUACCCUCCACAGCAUCCCUUAACACCCACACAUCCCUGUCUGUAUAUGCUUGAUGCCAAGAGAAACACAACUGUGGAUUGUGUGCAGUGCAGUAUGCGUGUGUGAUGUUGAACAGGGGCGAAAGCAGCCGGUGCCAGCUGUAACAGUCUGUCCCGUCUUUUCCCUUGUAAAACUGCGUGGCUCUCGCUUUUCUGGGCACCUGCCAUAUUCCUGCGUUCACUUCAGAGGAGCUCACAUCUAAGCGCUGUAUUGAAUUUACACUGUUUUUGGACAGGGAUGUCAUGGCAACCACUCUUCUGGUGCUAAUGAUGCAGAGGCUUUCAGGAGGAUACAGUUAGUUUUUUGAAAAUCCAAAACUGGACCUAAAACAUGGUUUCAAGUCACUAGAAUUGUAACUUUUUGUAUUUGUAUUUGUUCGCAAGUUCUGAAAAUGAAA